CCCGCUGAACUUAAGCAUAUCAAUAAGCGGAGGAAAAGAAACUAACAAGGAUUCCCCUAGUAACUGCGAGUGAAGCGGGAAGAGCUCAAAUUUAAAAUCUGGCGUGCCUCUGGUCGUCCGAGUUGUAGUCUAAAGAAGCGUUUUCCGUGUUGGACCGUGUACAAGUCCCUUGGAACAGGGCAUCAUAGAGGGUGAGAAUCCCGUCUCUGACACGGACUGCCAAUGCUUUGUGAUGCGCUCUCAAAGAGUCGAGUUGUUUGGGAAUGCAGCUCAAAAUGGGUGGUAAAUUCCAUCUAAAGCUAAAUAUAGGCGAGAGACCGAUAGCGAACAAGUACCGUGAGGGAAAGAUGAAAAGAACUUUGGAAAGAGAGUUAAACAGUAUGUGAAAUUGCUGAAAGGGAAACGCUUGAUGUCAGUCACGUUGGCUAGGGAUCAACCUUGCUUCUCGCUGGGUGUAUUUCCUAGUGGACGGGUCAGCAUCAGUUUCGGUCGCUGUACAAGGGCAAAGGGAACGUGGCACUCCUCGGAGUGUGUUAUAGCCUUUCGUCGUAUGCAGUGGUUGGGACUGAGGAACUCGGCACGAAAUCUAUUUUGUGCUUAGGAUGCUGGCAUAAUGGCCUUAAGCGACCCGUCUUGAAACACGG
rnacentral:rRNA from 1 species